rnacentral:rRNA from 1 species
AUGGCGGAAGGCGGAGAAGGCUCGGGCAGCCAGACCAAGUACCGUGGUGUGCGGCGCCGGCCCUGGGGCAAGUUUGCGGCGGAGAUCCGCGACUCAAGCCGGCAUGGCGUUCGCAUGUGGUUGGGCACCUUCGAUACCGCAGAGGAGGCGGCAGCGGCGUACGACCGCUCCGCCUACUCUAUGCGAGGCAGGAACGCUGUCCUCAACUUCCCCAACCAGGCGCAUGUCUAUGAGACCGAGGCGUCGCCUGGCGGUGGUGCUGGUGCUGGUGCUGGUCCUUCUCCGUCGGUGGCGAUGACGAAGGUUAUUGAGUUGGAGUGCCUGGAAGACGGCGUGCUGCAGGAGAUGCUCGAUGGCCACGAUAAAUCAAGCAAGAGCAAAUAG